rnacentral:rRNA from 1 species
AGAACAGACCUGGCGGCGUGCCUACCAUGCAUGUCAGCGAGAAAGCCGCAAUGGUGAGUAAGCGGCGCACGGGUGCGUACGUGGUAUCUGCCCUGGAGCCCGGAACAACUCGCCGAAAGGCGAGCUAAUGCCGGAUGAGACCACGGGGGCUUCGGCCCCUGAGGGAAAAGGUGGCCUCUGUACACAAGCUAUCACUCCAGGAUGAGCCCGCGGCCCAUCAGCUAGUUUGCGGGGUAACGGCCCACCAAGGCGACGACGGGUAGCUUGUCUGAGAGGACGAUCAGCCACACUGGAACUGAGACACGGUCCAGACUCCUACGGGAGGCAGCAGUGGGGAAUCUUGCGCAAUGGGCGAAAGCCUGACGCAGCAACGCCGCGUGUGUGAUGAAGGUCUUCGGAUCGUAAAGCACUGUCGCGAGGGACGAAUAAGCCUUUGGCUAACAUCCAGGGGCGAUGACGGUACCUCGAGAGGAAGCACCGGCUAACUCUGUGCCAGCAGCCGCGGUAAUACAGAGGGUGCGAGCGUUGUUCGGAAUUAUUGGGCGUAAAGCGCGUGUAGGCGGCUUGGCAAGUCGGAUGUGAAAGCCCUCGGCUUAACCGAGGAAGUGCGUUCGAAACUGCCUGGCUUGAGUACCGGAGAGGGUGGCGGAA